CCUGCGGCAGAUUAGCUUGUUGGUAAGGUAAUGCCUUACCAAGGCUACGAUCUGUAUCCGACCUGAGAGGGUGGUCGGACACACUGACACUGAAUAACGGGUCAGACUCCUACGGGAGGCAGCAGUCGGGAAUUUUGGGCAAUGGGCGAAAGCCUGACCCAGCAACGCCGCGUGAAGGAUGAAGUAUUUCGGUAUGUAAACUUCGCAAGAAUAGGAAGAAUAAAUGACGGUACUAUUUGUAAGGUCCGGCUAACUACGUGCCAGCAGCCGCGGUAAUACGUAGGGACCAAGCGUUGUUCGGAUUUACUGGGCGUAAAGGGCGCGUAGGCGGCGUGGUAAGUCACUUGUGAAAUCUCUGAGCUCAACUCAGAACGGUCAAGUGAUACUGCUAUGCUAGAGUGUAGGAAGGGCAAUCGGAAUUCUUGGUGUAGCGGUGAAAUGCGUAGAUAUCAAGAGGAAUAUCAGAGGCGAAGGCGGGUUGCUAGACUAACACUGACGCUGAGGCGCGAAAGCUAGGGUAGCAAACGGGAUUAGAUACCCCGGUAGUCCUAGCCCUAAACGAUGAAUGCUUGGUGUCCGGAGUUUUUACUUUGGGUGCCGAAGCUAACGCUUUAAGCAUUCCGCC
rnacentral:rRNA from 1 species